GCUGGAUUGUGUGUAGCAAUACUCACAGUCCGGAGUGGCGUAAGGGUGCGUAACACGUGGGUAAUUUGCCUGGAAGCCCGGGAUAACUCCGAGAAAUCGGAGCUAAUACCGGAUGUGAUCAAUGGCUGGCAUCAGUUGUUGCUCAAAGUCGGGGACCGCAAGGCCUGACACUUCCAGAUAAGCCCGCGGCCUAUCAGCUAGUUGGCGGGGUAACGGCCCACCAAGGCUAAGACGGGUAGCUGGUCUGAGAGGACGACCAGCCACACUGGAACUGAGACACGGUCCAGACACCUACGGGUGGCAGCAGUCGAGAAUUUUUCACAAUGGGGGAAACCCUGAUGGAGCGACGCCGCGUGGGGGAUGAAUGGCUUCGGCCCGUAAACCCCUGUCAUUUGCGAACAAACCUGGUGGUUGAACAGACUGCCAGCUGAUAGUAGCAGAAGAGGAAGGGACGGCUAACUCUGUGCCAGCAGCCGCGGUAAUACAGAGGUCCCAAGCGUUGUUCGGAUUCACUGGGCGUAAAGGGUGCGUAGGCGGUGGGGUAAGUUUGAGGUGAAAUCUCCGGGCUCAACCCGGACAAGCCUUGAAUACUAUCCUGCUAGAGGAUCGGAGGGGAGACUGGAAUUCUCGGUGUAGCAGUGAAAUGCGUAGAUAUCGAGAGGAACACCAGUGGCGAAGGCNAGUCUCUGGACGAUACCUGACGCUGAGGCACGAAAGCCAGGGGAGCAAACGGGAUUAGAUACCCCGGUAGUCCUGGCCCUAAACGGUGCGCACUUGCUGUGGNCGGAUUCGANCCCGCCCGUGGCGAAGGAAACCCGAUAAGUGCGCCGCCNGGGGGAGUACGGUCGCAAGAUUAAAACUCAAAGAAAUUGACGGGGGCCUGCACAAGCGGNGGANUAUGUGGNUUANUUCGAUGCNACGCGAAGAA
rnacentral:rRNA from 1 species